rnacentral:rRNA from 1 species
CUCAGGAUGAACGCUGGCGGCGUGCUUAACACAUGCAAGUCGAACGAUGAAGCCGGGAGCUUGCUCCUGGUGGAUUAGUGGCGAACGGGUGAGUAACACGUGAGUAACCUGCCCCAGACUCUGGGAUAAGCACUGGAAACGGUGUCUAAUACCGGAUACGAGCUUCAGCCGCAUGGCUAGGAGCUGGAAAGAAUUUCGGUCUGGGAUGGACUCGCGGCCUAUCAGGUAGUUGGUGAGGUAACGGCUCACCAAGCCGACGACGGGUAGCCGGCCUGAGAGGGUGACCGGCCACACUGGGACUGAGACACGGCCCAGACUCCUACGGGAGGCAGCAGUGGGGAAUAUUGCACAAUGGGCGCAAGCCUGAUGCAGCAACGCCGCGUGAGGGACGACGGCCUUCGGGUUGUAAACCUCUUUUAGUAGGGAAGAAGCGAAAGUGACGGUACCUGCAGAAAAAGCACCGGCUAACUACGUGCCAGCAGCCGCGGUAAUACGUAGGGUGCAAGCGUUAUCCGGAAUUAUUGGGCGUAAAGAGCUCGUAGGCGGUUUGUCACGUCUGCUGUGAAAACUGGAGGCUCAACCUCCAGCCUGCAGUGGGUACGGGCAGACUAGAGUGCGGUAGGGGAGAUUGGAAUUCCUGGUGUAGCGGUGGAAUGCGCAGAUAUCAGGAGGAACACCGAUGGCGAAGGCAGAUCUCUGGGCCGUAACUGACGCUGAGGAGCGAAAGCAUGGGGAGCGAACAGGAUUAGAUACCCUGGUAGUCCAUGCCGUAAACGUUGGGAACUAGAUGUAGGGUCCAUUCCACGGAUUCUGUGUCGCAGCUAACGCAUUACAGUU